rnacentral:rRNA from 1 species
UACGAAGGGGGCGAGCGUUGUUCGGAUUUACUGGGCGUAAAGGGCGCGCAGGCGGCUAUCCAAGUCAGGCGUGAAAGCCCCGGGCUUAACCUGGGAGGUGCGUCCGGGACUGGGUGGCUAGAGUUCGGGAGAGGAGAGUGGAAUUCCCAGUGUAGAGGUGAAAUUCGUAGAUAUUGGGAAGAACACCGGUGGCGAAGGCGGCUCUCUGGACCGAGACUGACGCUGAGGCGCGAAAGCGUGGGGAGCAAACAGG